AGGACGAACGCUGGCGGCGUGCCUAAUACAUGCAAGUCGAGCGGACCAAAGGGAGCUUGCUCCUGGAGGUUAGCGGCGAACGGGUGAGUAACACGUGGGCAACCUGCCUGUAAGACUGGGAUAACAUCGAGAAAUCGGUGCUAAUACCGGAUAAUAAAAAGAACUGCAUGGUUCUUUUUUGAAAGAUGGUUUCGGCUAUCACUUACAGAUGGGCCCGCGGCGCAUUAGCUAGUUGGUGAGGUAACGACUCACCAAGGCAACGAUGCGUAGCCGACCUGAGAGGGUGAUCGGCCACACUGGGACUGAGACACGGCCCAGACUCCUACGGGAGGCAGCAGUAGGGAAUCUUCCGCAAUGGACGAAAGUCUGACGGAGCAACGCCGCGUGAGUGAUGAAGGUUUUCGGAUCGUAAAACUCUGUUGUUAGGGAAGAACAAGUGCCGUUCGAAAGGGCGGCACCUUGACGGUACCUAACGAGAAAGCCACGGCUAACUACGUG
rnacentral:rRNA from 1 species